AGAGUUUGAUCCUGGCUCAGGAUGAACGUUGGCGGCGUGCCUAACACAUGCAAGUCGAACGGGAAGCUCUACUUCGGUAGAGUGGAGAGUGGCGCACGGGUGAGUAACACGUAACUGAUCUGCCCUAGAGAGGGGGAUAACUACUGGAAACAGUAGCUAAAACCCCAUAAGCUCACGUUUUUUAGAAAGAUGUGAGAAAAACUGAGGUGCUUUAGGAUGAGGUUGCGUCCCAUCAGCUAGUUGGUGUGGUAAAGGCACACCAAGGCGACGACGGGUAGGGGACCUGAGAGGGUGACCCCCCACACUGGGACUGAGACACGGCCCAGACUCCUACGGGAGGCAGCAGUGAGGAAUAUUGCACAAUGGACGAAAGUCUGAUGCAGCGACGCCGCGUGGGCGAAGAAGGUUUUCGGAUCGUAAAGCCCUUUUCUAUGUGACGAGAAUGGACGGUAGCAUAGGAAUAAGUGUCGGCUAACUACGUGCCAGCAGCCGCGGUAAAACGUAGGACGCGAACGUUAUCCGGAGUUACUGGGCGUAAAGCGCGUGCAGGCGGUUUUGUAAGUUACCUAUGAAAGCUCUCGGCUAAACUGAGAGAGGCUAGGUGAAACUGCAAGACUAGAGUGAGGUAGAGGUGAGUAGAAUUCCAGGUGUAGUGGUGAAAUGCGUAGAUAUCUGGAGGAAUACCAGUGGCGAAGGCGGCUCACUGGCCCUCAACUGACGCUGAGACGCGAAAGCGUGGGUAGCGAACGGGAUUAGAAACCCCGGUAGUCCACGCCGUAAACGAUGUAAGUAGGUGUUCGUAUGCCUGCGGGUAUAUGAGUAUCGAAGCUAACGCGAUAAAUGUACCGCCUGGGGAGUACGGUCGCAAGGCUAAAACUCAAAGGAAUUGACGGGGGCCCGCACAAGCAGCGGAGCGUGUGGUUUAAUUCGAGCCUACGCGAAGAACCUUACCUGGGUUUGACAUGAUAGUAGUACGGAAGCGAAAGCGGAAGGACUCUUCGGAGAGCUAUCACAGGUGCUGCAUGGUUGUCGUCAGCUCGUGCCGUGAGGUGUUCGGUUAAGUCCGCAAACGAGCGCAACCCUCGGCGUUAGUUACAAGUGUCUAGCGCGACUGCCCGUGACAAACGGGAGGAAGGUGGGGAUGACGUCAAAUCAGCAUGGCCUUUAUAUCCAGGGCUACACACACGCUACAAUGGUCGGUACAAUGGGUCGCGAAGCCGCGAGGUGGAGCCAAUCCUCUAAAGCCGAUCUCAGUUCGGAUUGCAGGCUGCAACUCGCCUGCAUGAAGUCGGAGUUGCUAGUAACCGCGUAUCAGCACGGCGCGGUGAAUACGUUCCCGGGCCUUGUACACACCGCCCGU
rnacentral:rRNA from 1 species